CCGGCGGCGGGGCUGAGUCCCCCUCCAGCCCCGGUCCCUUCCAGCGCCGGGGCUGCGGCUCUGCGGCUCUCCCCAGUCAGGAGCCGCAGGUGCGCCGAGGCUCGGCUGAGAAGCGGCGGCCGGGGGCGUGAGGUGCUGGCCCAGGCAGCCAACGUGCUGCUUCAUUGCUCCCCCCCCUUUCCUCCUCCCGCGUCCAUGAGGGGGAAACGCAGCCAGGUGGCACCUCACAGGCGUGCCAGUGCACCGACGGUUUGCGCAGGGUCUGCUGAGGGUUGCGGAAGCUUUGUGAGGUCCCGCGUUAUCGUAAGUGGCCCCAGUUGUGCUUGUAAGGGGCAGAGAGUGAGAAACAAGCAGCCAAGGGAAGUACAGCAUGGUGGCUCAACAGACUACACGAAGACUCCCACUGCGAAGGCACCAGGAGCAGUGUAGACACAGCACAGUGAAAGAGAGAUGAUGUGCUGCUGCAUAGUGUCACUCCAGAAAAUGCUACACAGGGAGGAAACCGCAUUUUUCAGUGGUCCACAAAGGAUUUCCAUAUGUUGAGUGAAAUCAGCUUGAUAGCAUGUCCCUGCACCUCCCUGAUCAGCUACUGCAUCACUGGGAAUGCUUGCAAGCCUACCAGAAGAUCAGGCAACUAGAAGGGAGAAAUGUGGGACUCAAGGAGCCUCUGAUAUUCAAACCUAUGCCACAUUCCACUUGAAGCACUGAAUGGAAACUCAGAAGUGAAGGCUUAACUGGCAACAGGAAUAAGAAGACAAAAACCUGUAAGUGUGGGAGAAGAAAAGGAGGCAGCAGAAGGACACAGAAAGACUCAGUCUGGCCCUGUAUGGAAUAGGAGAGGUUCAACCACUCCUGGUUCUGGAAAUUUAAUUGCUGAUCCAAGGUUUGCAAAACAAAAGCCUAAUAUGGAGUUUGUUGGCCCCAGGUUACAAGGUGGAAACCUGGAAACCUUAAGAGUCAAUUCAAGCAAACUGGUAAGAUUGAGCUGAAAAUAGCGUUGAAAAACAAUUGACAGAAAUUAUUAGUUGAAAUACGUUAAAUUUUUGAUCAUUUAUUUGUUUUAACUAUUUGUUAAUCCUUGGUGUUCUUUCCCUAUUCCUGUUAUUCUUUACCCAUUUGUAAAAAAGGUAAAGAGCAUUAAUAUGCUGAGAAACACGAACAGGCAAAAUGGUAAGUUACAGGGAAGUGCAAAUCGUUUUGCACCUGCAGAUGGGACCUCCAGCCCGACUGUGACUCCAGUGCCAGACUUCCCUCUUUUACUCUCAAAUCAUCCAUGCAGUACUUCAUUCCUGCAAAUGUGUAAUGCAGGUAAAUUGUUCCACUGUCUCCAGGAAGACUAGAUUUAACCUCAAGCCUAAUUUUUAUACUCUGUGGUUACUUAAACCAGUCUGAUUUUUUUCUGCAGUCAAUUUUAGAUAGGAAGAAAAAGGUUGUUCUUUCUGCUACCUCUUAGCUGUGACAAUUCCUUUGAUUCUUUUUCCCUUUAUUUCUCUCUUUGGCCUGAGCUAUAAACCCCAAAAUUGAUAAAACCCUGACUUACAAAGCAUUAUGAUUACAAAAAUAGUCUAAAAUGGACUUGCAAAGCAGGGAGAGCAGAACAGGCUCUUGCGGCUGAGGGGAAGGUAAAAGCAGCAGAAGUUAUGCAAUUAAAAAAGAUACACUGUUAUAUCAGAAUAUAAGUCAGCAGCUGGGAAACUCCAUAGAUUGCAGUGAACAGGCACAAAACAGUCACCAGAGGAUUACUUAGAAGCUGUCCUUCCCAGUUCUGACAGUGAGCAGAGAAGCUGUAUCCUACACUAGAGGCCACAAUUCCCACUCUUAUUCUCACCUGCAUCGUUCAGCCAUUGAUUACAGUAUUGUGCACGAUGCAGAAAAGUAGCAGGAUCCUGAUCUGGAAAUGGGUCAGAUUCAAGCGUGACACAGGUAUUAUAGAGAGCUGCUAGCUCAUGUAACAAAUGGGCUGCAGACUGCAUUGAGCACCUGAAAUAAAAAGGUGGGAGGAUAGCAGAUGAGAUCCUGGUAGAAGCAGGCAGUUUAGCAACUGAAGCCAGGUCGUGCGUUCAACUCAUUAUAGAACCAUCAAUAAAAACGAAUUCAGUUAUAAUUUUUCAGCUUUUGUGAAUAUGCAGCUUCUCUGAAUGAUAUCACCCCUGCAGCACGUUCACAGAUAUAUUCCAAAAAGACCAUAUAGCACCACAAAGAAUAUCCACAUGUAAGCAUAAAGAUAAAUAAAAUGACAGCCUUUCUUUCUUGCAGAUUCUUCUGCUACUUGUGCCCUUUCUACUCUUAAGCUCUAUUCAUCAGUAAAUUAAUACAAGGAAGGAAGAGGGUAAUUGCUUUGCUGCAGCUAAAAACUUCAGCAGAUUUUCCAUAUAUUUCCUUAUAGCCAUAAGGGGGACAACAUAGAUCAUAAACUAGUUAUCAGAAAUUGUGUGGUGUUUUCCUGGCAACUAAAUUAAAGUUAGAGGGGAAGGUUAUCCAUUAAAUGACUUUUCAAGAAGACUUAAAAUGUGGGAUCUAUUUCCAGUUUAGUCUUCUGGGGGCUGGAUUCAGAGGGCUUCUUUUCCUGUUUGUCUCCAAAUCUAUGAGAAUUUUGUUUUCAUGUAUUUCUAUUACCAAACAAAAUGAGCUGUGCAUAAAUAACUGAUGGAACUGAGCUAUCUGGAAGAUUUCCAAUUAAGAUUAGUUUGUCAUUACAUAAACCAAAUGUUAAGGAUUUUUUUACUGGUGCUCCAUCAGAGGACAACUUGGAUGGAAGAAUUGCACUUCAGCUCAAGAAAGGAAAUCUGCUGUAUGAACAUAUUCUCUUCUAACAAACAAAAGCUCCUCACACUUCCAGAAGGAAUCAUUUACCACAGUUCCUCUGCAAUAAUGACUGACACUGAAUGCUUGACACAAAGAUGUAAAAUAUGCAGGAUAUUUCAAAAAUAUACCAAUGGAAGGAAUGUCAUAAACCUUGAUCAUGGCAAAGCCUGUACACUUAGAUUAGCCCCCUUGAUUUAAGUGAAGCUGCCUACAAGUGUACAGUUAACUACACAGCUGAGGUUAAACAUUAUCAAAGUUAAAAUUAAAGUCUAGAUCCACUAAAAAUCUUUGGAUUUUUUUGCUAUGGACUUUUAUGUUGUUUUUUUGUUGUCGUUUUGUUUUGUUUUUCUGUACAGACUAGACAGAGAUGAUUUGUGAAAGUUGCAGAAUAAGAAGCACUACAAAAGCAGUAUGAUUUGAUCAUGACUUGUGGCAACAGAGAGAAAAAAAUGUAAAAAUGGUGCAAAUUUCAGUCCUCACGCAGAGUCAAGAGCAAUUCAUAAUUUCCAGAUCAGCAGUUCACAGAAUCACACAGUCACAGCAGGGCUGAGGCUGGCGGGGACCUCUGGGGGCACUGCUCCAACCCCUGCUCAGGCAAGGCCACCCAGAGCAGGGUGCCCAGUCCAGGGGGCUUUUGGAGAUCCCCAAGGAGGGUGACCCCACAGCCUCCAUGGGCAGCCUGUGCCCAUGUUCCUACACCUGCACAGCAAAGCAGUGCUUCUACAUACCUAAGUCAUGGCUGCCUAAUCUUUGCACGAUCAGAAAACUAUGCUUAAAAAACAGUGCUAGUUACCAACUAGCUUAAGGUCUGGAUGUACCACAGAUUCAAAGAAGAAAAUGAAAAACCAUCAAAAAAAUCAACAGAAAAAACAAUUUCAGAAUUUUAGUAGAUACUUUCUGGGCAGAAAGAACACUAAAAGAAUCAGAUCCAUUAUUUAUGGUAAAUUAUCCUCUCACCUGUGCUCAAAAUUCAAUCUACUGGCAAGUUUGAAGUGACAAAAAAAUUACCUGACUCCUAUUUAGAGAAGCAUCUAAUUUUUGCUUCAUAGGAAGACCUGAAGUGGUGUCUUGAUUCCUCUGCAUACUGUCACAGAACAUGGAUUAAAAGUAAAAAGCAGCUGCAAGGAAAGAAAACUUCUCUCUCUUGGGUUUUAUCUUUCAUUUGCAGGUUGUGGCCAGAUAGCUCAUGCCAUAUACAUUCUUUGUUAAUGCAGUGCUGUAUGACCUUGUCCAUAGAUUCUUGCCUACACAUGUUCCUGCUAUAUAAUAGAGUGUCAGAUAUGAUGAACGUCAAGGUGUUUCUUUCAUUUGAGAAGAGCACUGUAAGCCACUCCAUUUCCCUCUGUGGUACUCUGCUGAGAAAUGUUUUAGUAUAAACGUUUAAAAGUGCAUACAAAUGUAGAAAUAAAUGGAGAUUUUGGAAUGAACAACAAAAAUUAUUAAAAGCAUGGAUAACCUCUACGACAAAAAUAAUAGUAAUAAACAACACAAAAAAAUGUACAGCAGCCACAGCACCAAUAUGGGCCUAAGGCCUCUAGCAGUGCAAGCGGCUGAAAAAAACAGCUACAGUGGUCUGCUUACCCAACAGUCUUCUGAGGAAGCUCUUCAUGAUCCUAAUUCAGGGGUGCUCCCUUGAAACACAUAACUUCUCUGAUCUGGUUAACUCCAGCAAGCCUCAGUCACAUUUAAAUUGUAGCAGGUGUCAGAUGGACUCUUAAAAAUUGUGACCAAAUGAAAAAAAAAAAAAAGGUUUUAUUUUUAAUCUACUACCUGACAAGUCCAUUGAGUACCUCCUAAUUCUUAUGCUUGAGUAAAACUGAAUUAUUCCUUAAUCAGGAUUUACAGUUCCCAUUAGCUUUAGAGGAAGUUAGGGUUUCUGUUGUAGCCAAGCCCAAAAUGCAGAAAUGGAUAAUCUUGUGGAUUAGUUUGUGAGUGAUUUGUGUUACCAAAAAAAUAAAAAUAAAUAAAAAAUCCUGUAGGUCUAAUUGAUCUUUUCAGAACAUAUGCAUUUUACUUAUGGAACACCUUGAUUUAUUUAUCAGUGUCAUCCAUACAGAUAUUUGUACCAAUAUUCUAAACACUAAUAAAUCAAAAGGCACAUUCAUAGUUGGUAGAUUAAAUUUUGAAGAAAAUUUGUGUCAGCGUAUUAAGCAAGUAUUGUGUGACUAAACAUUUAGAAUUUGGCUUGACUUUGACCUUUUGUUCUCUGUAAAAUCAGUCAGUGCUCCUGUUGUACAGCUGGAUUGCCAAAAUAUUCAGAGCAAUAUUUUCAAGCCUGGAAAAUGGAAUCUUCUGAAUUCAGAACAAUCUUAUAUGUGGUCAUUGUAAAGCUUUCUUUGUCACAUGACAGAGGAAACAUUGCCAUUGAAUAUUACAGAGACACCAUUAACUGAAGUGCUGCAAGUUUGGUAUGAUUUGUAUUCCAUUGCCAAAUUUUCUUUCAAGGAAAUUAUGAUCAAUGACUAGAAAAACACAGGUUCAGAAAUUUGCAAAAGAAUCUGCAGCUUGGGUUUGAAGUACAGCAAACCCAGGUGCUUAAAAACAGAGGGAGCACAUGUAACUCUAAGAGUGACUGGAAAACAAUUGUUCCGCUGGCCAGGAUGAAGAAUUAGCAUGUCCCUGGAGAAGGAGGUCAAGAGCAUGAAGAGGAGACAGCAGAUAAAGUCUUAGACAUGAGUAAACUUAAGAAGAAAAAUUAAAGUGCAGAUCAUGAGAUUUGUUGUUGUUAAGUAGCCAACUAAACUGAAUUCAAAUACGAGAGCGUUUGUGUACUUUGUGCAAACCAACUUGAGAUGUUUCCUAACUUACGUUGACAUUCGAUGAAUGUCAUUUUGAUAUAUGCACUUGUAUUGUUGUUGUAGUUGCUCUGUUUAAGAAACUUGAGAUGCAGACCAGCUCUGUAACUCUCACUACUAUAAGCAGCAUUCAUUCACAUUAGUGGCUGCGGAGAGGACAAUGCGUUUAAUGCUGUUCCAAGUAAUGGUUCAAGAGAUGAGCCUUUCUAUUCAGGUCAAUUAAAUAAACACAAUCUAUUUCAUU